rnacentral:rRNA from 1 species
GGGCUGCAGUAUUUUGACUGUACAAAGGUAGCAUAAUCAUUAGUCAUUUAAUUGGUGACUUGUAUGAAAGAUUGGAUGAAAUAUAAACUGUCUCUUAAUUAAAUUAUAGAAUUUAAUUUUUUAAUUAAAAAGUUAAAAUAAAUUAAAAAGACGAGAAGACCCUAUAGAGUUUUAUAUUUAAAUUAAUUAAGAUUAUUUAUAUAUUUAUUAAUUAAAAUUAUCUUAAAUAUUUUGUUGGGGUGACAAAAAAAUAUAAUUAACUUUUUUUAUAGUUUUACAUAUAUAGGUGAAUUAUUGAUCCAAUAAUAUUGAUUAUAAGAAAAAAUUACCUUAGGGAUAACAGCGUAAUUUUUUUUUUUAGUUCAAAUAAAAAGAAGAGUUUGCGACCUCGAUGUUGGAUUAAGAUAAAAUUUAAAUG